rnacentral:rRNA from 1 species
GUACCAGCGGUGUUGUGGGGCACUAUUCGGUCAGUACACAGACUGACCAAGAAGUUAAAAAUCUGCACCAUAGUCGAAGUGUUCUGGAAAGUUCAACCAUAGAAGGUGAUAGUCCUGUAGACGAAAUGGUAGCAGACUUCUUUAUAGUGUUCCCGAGUACCACGGGGCACGUGAAACCCUGUGGGAAACUGGGGAGACCACUCUCCAAGGCUAAAUACUCUCUCGUGACCGAUAGUGCACUAGUACCGGUGAGGGAAAGGUGAAAAGUACUCCGAGAAGGAGAGUGAAAUAGUACCUGAAACCGUACGCUUACAAGCAGUCGGAGGGGGCUUGUCCCCUGACGGCGUGCCUUUUGCAUAAUGAGCCGGCGAGUUACUUGUAUGCAGCGAGGUUAACUCACUAAGUGAGGUAGCCGAAGCGAAAGCGAGUCUUAAUAGGGCGUUUAGUUGCAUGCAGUAGACCCGAAGCCAGGUGAUCUACCCAUGGCCAGGAUGAAGCGGGAGUAAAAUCUCGUGGAGGUCCGAACCGCCGAACGUUGAAAAGUUCUCGGAUGAGCUGUGGGUAGGGGUGAAAGGCCAAUCAAACCUGGAGAUAGCUGGUUCUCCCCGAAAUAGCUUUAGGGCUAGCCUCUUGAUAGAGAGUCGUGGAGGUAGAGCACUGGAUCGGCUAGGGGGCUUACCCGCUUACCAAACCGAACCAAACUCCGAAUGCCAUUGACUUGUUUCAAGGGAGUCAGCGUGCGAGGGAUAAACUCCGUACGCGAGAGGGAAACAACCCAGACCGUCAGCUAAGGUCCCUAAGUGUAGGCUAAGUGAUUAAAAGGAUGUGAAAUUGCUGAGACAGCUAGGAUGUUGGCUUAGAAACAGCCACCAUUUAAAGAGUACGUAACAGUUCACUAGUCAAGUGAUUUUGCGCCGACAAUGUAUCGGGGCUAAGUUUACCACCGAAGCUACGGACUCAGCGUUUCGUUCGCGAGGCGUUGAUUGGUAGGGGAGCGUUCCAUAGUAGGCUGAAGGCAAACCGUAAGGUUUGCUGGACGAGAUGGAAGUGAUUAUGUCGGCAUGAGUAGCGAUAAUGCGGGUGAGAAUCCCGCACACCGAAAAUCUAAGGUUUCCUGGGCUAGGCUCGUCCUCCUGGGGUUAGUCGGGACCUAAGCUGAGGCCGAAAGGCGUAGGCGAUGGAAAACAGGCUAAAUAUUCCUGUACCACUUACAGCGUGUUUGAGCUAUGGGGUGACGCAGAAGUGAAAGGUCAGCCAGCGAUUGGAAAUGCUGGUCUAAGCUCGUAGGAGGGUCAUCUAGGUAAAUCCGGAUGACCAAUACUCUGAGAGGCGAUGGGGAGCCGCUUAGCGGCAUAAACUGACCCUAAUCAGGCUGCCAAGAAAAACCUCUAUGUGAAUUCUGUAGGUGCCCGUACCGCAAACCGACACAGGUAGAUGAGGAGAGUAUCCAAAGGUGCGCGAGUGAACCCUCGUUAAGGAAUUCGGCAAAAUGAUCCCGUAACUUCGGAAGAUGGGAUGCCCUAAGUAGGUGAUACCCCUCGCGGGUGGAGCCCAAAGGGGCCGCAGAGAAACGGGCUGGGCGACUGUUUACCAAAAACACAGGUCUCUGCUAAGCCGUAAGGCAAUGUAUAGGGACUGACACGUGCCCGGUGCCGGUAAGUUAAGAGGAUGAGUUAGUCUUCGGACGAAGCUUUGAAUCGAAGCUCCGGUAAACGGCGGCCGUAACUAUAACGGUCCUAAGGUAGCGAAAUUCCUCGUCGGCUAAAAACCGACCUGCACGAAUCGUGUAACGACUUGGCCGCUGUCUCAACGAGGGACUCGGUGAAAUUGUAGUUCCGGUGAAGAUGCCGGAUACCCGCGGCAGGACAGAAAGACCCCGUGAACCUUUACUAUAGCUUGGUAUUGGAUUUUGACACUGUAUGUGUAGGAUAGGUGGGAGGCU